rnacentral:rRNA from 1 species
UACAGAGGGUGCGAGCGUUAAUCGGAAUUACUGGGCGUAAAGCGUGCGUAGACGGUAAUGUAAGUCAGAUGUGAAAGCCCCGAGCUCAACUUGGGAAUUGCAGUGGAUACUGGCAGGCUGGAGUACGGUAGAGGAAGGUGGAAUUCCCGGUGUAGCAGUGAAAUGCGUAGAUAUCGGGAGGAACACCAGUGGCGAAGGCGGCCUUCUGGACCAGUACUGACGCUCAUGCACGAAAGCGUGGGGAGCAAACAGG